CGGACGGGUGAGUAACACGUGGAUAACCUACCUAUAAGACUGGGAUAACUUUGGGAAACCGGAGCUAAUACCGGAUAAUAUAUUGAACCGCAUGGUUCAAUAGUGAAAGACGGUUUUGCUGUCACUUAUAGAUGGAUCCGCGCCGCAUUAGCUAGUUGGUAAGGUAACGGCUUACCAAGGCAACGAUGCGUAGCCGACCUGAGAGGGUGAUUGGCCACACUGGAACUGAGACACGGUCCAG
rnacentral:rRNA from 1 species